rnacentral:tRNA from 1 species
AGUAGAAUGGCUGAGGUUAAAAUAGGUGAUAGACUGUAAAUCUAUUAAGGAGGGUAUAUUUUCUCUUCUACUA